rnacentral:lncRNA from 1 species
CAAAAAGUGAAUGCUGGCUGAGAAACGCAAGCUGGGAAUACAGCAGAAAGCCAAGGUGAUUGUUGCCAUGUUCACCUACCACCCGCGCUGCGUUCACAUCCCUGAUGUCCAUGCCACCCAAUAGGGCCUACUGCUGUGAUGCUCUGCGAUGGAUGAGCACCUGGGAAAGAGCUGUUGUCUGAAUCCCUUCCUUCUGCCAGGGCUGAGCUCCAGGUUGGAAAAUGAGUAUUGCAAAAGGAAAAGAAGAGGGAAAAGAAUCAUAGAAUCAUUAAGGUUGGAAAAGACCACUAAGAUCAUCUAGUCCAGCUGUCCACCUACCACCAAUACUUCCCGCUAAAUCAUGUCCCUCAGUGCCGUAUCUCCACAUUUCUUGAACACCUCCUGGGACGACGACUCCACCACCUCUCUGGGCAGCUGGUUCCAAUGCAUUACCACUCAUUACCACUCUUUCUGAGAAGAAAUUUUUCCUAAAACCCAACCUGAAUCUCCCCUGGUGCAACUUAAGGCUAUUCCCUCUCGUCCUAUCAAAGAAGUUGGAAAAGAAAAGGAAAAAAGAAAACAGAAAGGAAAAAAAGUGUAAAAAGUAAAAGCAAAAGAAAGGAAAGAAGAAAAGGAAAAAGAUUCAGUUAACAACUCUUUUCUCCAGUCUCUCUGUUGAAACUUGCAGUUUUCUGCACUUGUGAAGGAGGAGGUAGAAGGAUGGAGAUAGCACAAUGAUGACAACACAGGGCAGCAAAAGAGG